rnacentral:rRNA from 1 species
UACGAAGGGUGCAAACGUUGCUCGGAAUCAUUGGGCGUAAAGCGCACGUAGGCGGCUUCGCAAGUCGGAUGUGAAAUCCCACGGCUCAACCAUGGACGUGCAUUCGAAACUGCGAAGCUUGAGUAUGGAAGAGGGUCGCGGAAUUCCCGGUGUAGAGGUGAAAUUCGUAGAUAUCGGGAGGAACACCAGUGGCGAAGGCGGCGACCUGGGCCAAUACUGACGCUGAGGUGCGAAAGCGUGGGGAGCAAACAGG